ACGUAGGUGGCAAGCGUUGUCCGGAUUUAUUGGGCGUAAAGGGAGCGCAGGCGGUGACUUAAGUCUGAUGUGAAAGCCCACGGCUCAACCGUGGAGGGUCAUUGGAAACUGGGUCACUUGAGUGCAGAAGAGGAAAGUGGAAUUCCAUGUGUAGCGGUGAAAUGCGUAGAUAUAUGGAGGAACACCAGUGGCGAAGGCGACUUUCUGGUCUGUAACUGACGCUGAGGCUCGAAAGCGUGGGGAGCAAACAGG
rnacentral:rRNA from 1 species